UACAGUGUGAAAUAAAAACAUUUGUGAUUUAGCGUUUUAAAAUGACGCUUCGUGACACUCGGAGCACUGAGUACGAAUCAUUCACGUCUUCCGUAGCUAUACACUUCGGUCAGUAUGCAUCGGCUUGCAUCAUUAACCAAUCAGAAGUCAGAACGUUUCUUUGCCUUGACACACUAACUCAGUGAUGUGCGAGUACAAGUGAUUACAGUCUCGAAAUCUUCCGUCUUCACGUUAAGCACGAGAACCAAAUUGUGAGCCGUCUUUUCUUUACCAACGAAAUGAGAAGCGUUUAUAGUCUAGCAUUACUGUUCGGGAUAGCAAUUGAGCAAUGAAAUACCAAACUUGUAAUCACCAUCUACCAAUUGAAACUGGCUGAUGGCAAAACAUCGAUAGACUAGAACGAAAAUAUCCUCUCUGUAACACCACUUUAGUGCAGAGCCUACGUCGUGACUGUGGACAUGUUGCAGAUGGCAGAACAGAUGCAGCACAACCACCCGGCGAUGCCAUUCAUUAAGCAAGUAGACGCAUUCAAGGCAACAGAAUGUGGUACAGAAUUAGUUUGUUGUUACCUUUUGACUGUACAGACCAUCAACCAGGUAAAAGGGCAAUUAACGAGUACCGGGACAUAGAUAGAUCCUAAUUAGCACACAUCAACAAGUCCUGCGACGUAGAAUUCAUUUUAGGACCAUAUAUACAAGUUUAUCUACUUCCUGGACCAUAACCGUUUUAUUUAACGACGAACUCUACACAUUUUAAUUACGGUUAUAUGGCGUCAGACAUAUGGUUAAGAACCACACAGAUAUUGAGAGAAGAAACCUGUUGUCGCCACUUCAUGUACUAAUAUUAGUCUUUGUUUAAUGGUAUGGAGAAAUUGUAGGCACUUGUCUUAUUAGCAUGCAGUGGGUCAGGACCCCUGUUACCAUAUUAAAACAUUCUCCAACAAACAACCUGUCACCCCAAACAUUAUCAACAGACAGGGUUUACUACCAUAAAUAAGUUUUUAAAACCUUUGAUUAAGUAAACUGUCCCAACUAAAAUCACAGAACUGACUAAUUACGUAGUCCCAAAUAUCUUUUCAGAGGGAGAAAUACUAUAACCCUAUUUUGUUCUGUUAAUGCACAUUGAAAUAUAUUUAGUUAAGUAGUUUAUUAUAUUAUCAGGACAUUUAUGUUGUUUUACAAGUCAGGUUGAUUAAAGCGAAGCUGUCAUCACUUUCCGUCCAACUGGACAAGAUGAAACAAAAUGGCUGCUCCCAGUUAGCAGGAAUAAUCACGGGUAUUUUUUAUUAAUUCUAAAAUUACGCGUUUUUCAUUUCGCAACAAACUGUUAUGAAAUCGGCUAAUCCACAAUUUUAUUUAUUGAUUGAUUUAUUUUAUUAUGAUUUUUUUUUAACUAGCCAGGACUGCCAGAGACAGAUGAAUUGCAUACAUACAACACACUUGUCGGCAACAUCGUCCUAACACAACGUUACAGAGUGUAUUUAACGUUCCCAUUUUCGUCCUCUAAAGAUUUUCCAAUGAAUAAUGUGUUUUUUGUUCUACUAGUAAAAUUAAAUUAUUUAGUUGUAAUUUUAUAUGGGCUGAUACUUGAAGGUAUAAUCUUCAAUCUGAUUAAAAUUAGCUCCACUAUUAGAGAUGAUUUCAAUCAGAUUGUAUAAUCUUUACAUUUCAAUGCAAAAGUUAAUAGAUAUUUUGGCGGGAAGCAGUCUUUAUACAUCUUUGACAUUGCACCUUUAAGAUGACAAGUAGGUUUUUUUAGCAUCUAUAGAUACUGGUAUAGAUAGGAAAAGAAACGAUGAGGGUCGAAAUAAAUAAUGUUAAAUAGGAUACAUAUAUAUAUAUAUAUAUAUAAUCUUGGUCCAUUUCUUUAGUUUUAAGAACUUUUCACUACGAACAUUCAUGAUUGAUAUGCAAAUUAUAAUAUUAUUUGUUCACAGCGUUCUGGUGUAUGUCAACGAAAUACUGUCUGCCUGCUGAAAGUUAAGGAAUUAUUGUCCGGUGAAUGUGAAGGAAAUACCGUCUGCUGACGUUUCGGAUUGACAGCUUGAUGAAGUUUGAUGACAUUCUUCGACAUAUUGGCGAGUUUGGGCCGUACCAAAGGCGAAUUUGCCUGUUCGUGCUGAUUCCUCUGGUGACACUGGGAAUCGACUCCAUGAGCGUUAUCUUCGCUCUCGCAACACCCGAAUACAGAAGAGUCUUGGCUUCACCGUAUGAGAUGGAGGACUGGGGUUGUGGAAGGCAGUUAUCUGCUUUGGCCAGUUGGUCAGUCCUGUGUGCUGGGAUCCACUGGAGGGU